rnacentral:rRNA from 1 species
AUUGAACGCUGGCGGCAGGCCUAACACAUGCAAGUCGAGCGAGCGGAGGACGGGUGGGUAAUGUAUGGGGAUCUGCCCGAUAGAGGGGGAUAACUACUGGAAACGGUGGAUAAUACCGCAUACUAUCGGAUGAACCCAUGUGGGAUUAGCUAGUAGGGGCGGUAAAGGCUAACCUAGGCGACGAUCUCUAGCUGGUCUGAGAGGAUGAUCAGCCACACUGGGACUGAGACACGGCCCAGACUCCUACGGGAGGCAGCAGUGGGGAAUAUUGCACAAUGGGCGCAAGUCUGAUGCAGCCAUGCCGCGUGUAUGAAGAAGGCCUUAGGGUUGUAAAGUACUGUCAGCGGGGAGGCGUUACCCGCAGAGGAAGCACCGGCUAACUCCGUGCCAGCAGCCGCGGUAAUUC